UUUAAUAUGGCAGACUUAGUGCCUUGAAUUUAAACUUCAAUUAUAAAGACUCAGAUCUUUUAUUAAAA
rnacentral:tRNA from 1 species